UGAUAUGUGACUCAUGUGUCAUGUGUCGCCUGAGGAUGAGACCGCACCCUAUCAGGUAGUUGGUGGGGUAAUGGCCCACCAAGCCUAUAACGGGUACGGGCCCUGAGAGGGGGAGCCCGGAGAUGGGUACUGAGACAAGGACCCAGGCCCUACGGGGCGCAGCAGGCGCGAGACCUCUGCAAUGCGCGAAAGCGCGACAGGGCCACCCCGAGUGCUAGACGCUGAGUCUAGCUUUUCCCUAGUGUAGUAAGCUAAGGGAAUAAGCGGGGGGCAAGCCUGGUGUCAGCCGCCGCGGUAAUACCAGCUCCGCGAGUGGUCGGGACGAUUAUUGGGCCUAAAGCGUUCGUAGCCGGCCUAACAAGUCUCUGGUUAAACUUCAAGGCUUAACCUUGAGAUUGCUGGAGAUACUGUUAGGCUAGGAGGCGGGAGAGGUUGAGGGUACUUCACGGGUAGGGGCGAAAUCCUAUAAUCCGUGAAGGACCACCAGUGGCGAAGGCGCUCAACUGGGACGCGCUCGACGGUGAGGGACGAAAGCCAGGGGAGCAAAGGGGAUUAGAUACCCCCGUAGUCCUGGCUGUAAACGAUGCGGGCUAGGUGUUGGGUUGGCUUCGUGCCAACCCGGUGCCGCAGCGAAGGCGAUAAGCCCGCCGCCUGGGAAGUACGGCUGCAAGGCUGAAACUUAAAGGAAUUGGCGGG
rnacentral:rRNA from 1 species